UACGAAGGGGGCUAGCGUUGCUCGGAAUCACUGGGCGUAAAGCGCACGUAGGCGGACUCUUAAGUCGGUGGUGAAAUCCUGGAGCUCAACUCCAGAACUGCCUUUGAUACUGAGGAUCUUGAGUUCGGGAGAGGUGAGUGGAACUGCGAGUGUAGAGGUGAAAAUUCGUAGAUAUUCGCAAGAACACCAGUGGCGAAGGCGGCUCACUGGCCCGAUACUGACGCUGAGGCACGAAAGCGUGGGGAGCAAACAGG
rnacentral:rRNA from 1 species